rnacentral:sRNA from 1 species
UUUUAGCCCCGACAGAAGUAACAUCCUUUGCUGCCGGUUUUUGGUGGCAAAGAUAAAGCGAAUGGCGGGAAUAGCU